GUGUCGUGGUAAAGCAAAGAGCCAGCACCCCCUUUGACAAGGAUGGAAGAGACUCUCGGACCUAACGACUGUCAUGCCGGUGGGGCACUGCCUCCUACUUUGUGGCAUGUAACCAUCUUUUUGU